rnacentral:rRNA from 1 species
AUUGAACGCUGGCGGCAGGCCUAACACAUGCCAGUCGAGCGGAUGAAGGGAGCUUGCUCCUGGAUUCAGCGGCGGACGGGUGAGUAAUGCCUAGGAAUCUGCCUGGUAGUGGGGGAUAACGUCCGGAAACGGGCGCUAAUACCGCAUACGUCCUGAGGGAGAAAGUGGGGGAUCUUCGGACCUCACGCUAUCAGAUGAGCCUAGGUCGGAUUAGCUAGUUGGUGGGGUAAAGGCCUACCACGGCGACGAUCCGUAACUGGUCUGAGAGGAUGAUCAGUCACACUGGAACUGAGACACGGUCCAGACUCCUACGGGAGGCAGCAGUGGGGAAUAUUGGACAAUGGGCGAAAGCCUGAUCCAGCCAUGCCGCGUGUGUGAAGAAGGUCUUCGGAUUGUAAAGCACUUUAAGUUGGGAGGAAGGGCAGUAAGUUAAUACCUUGCUGUUUUGACGUUACCAACAGAAUAAGCACCGGCUAACUUCGUG